CAGCAGCCGCGGUAAUACGUAGGUGGCAAGCGUUGUCCGGAAUUAUUGGGCGUAAAGGGCUCGCAGGCGGUUUCUUAAGUCUGAUGUGAAAGCCCCCGGCUCAACCGGGGAGGGUCAUUGGAAACUGGGAAACUUGAGUGCAGAAGAGGAGAGUGGAAUUCCACGUGUAGCGGUGAAAUGCGUAGAGAUGUGGAGGAACACCAGUGGCAAAGGCGACUCUCUGGUCUGUAACUGACGCUGAGGAGCGAAAGCGUGGGGAGCGAACAGGAUUAGAUACCCCGGUAGUCCCUGUCUCUUAUAC
rnacentral:rRNA from 1 species